UGGGAUGUAGCUCAUCAGUAGAGCACUUGUUCAAAAGCUAGAGGCUUUGGAUUUAAUCCCCAGUAUCCCAU
rnacentral:tRNA from 1 species